UGUGUGAAGAUGUAUUGCUGUGAUUGGUGCAAUAAAAGCUGAACGGCCACUAGCUAGGCAGGUUUUUCAAGGCAGAGGGAAU